CUACGUGCCAGCAGCCGCGGUAAUACGUAGGUGGCAAGCGUUGUCCGGAAUUAUUGGGCGUAAAGCGCGCGCAGGUGGUUUAAUAAGUCUGAUGUGAAAGCCCACGGCUCAACCGUGGAGGGUCAUUGGAAACUGUUAAACUUGAGUGCAGGAGAGAAAAGUGGAAUUCCAUGUGUAGCGGUGAAAUGCGUAGAUAUAUGGAGGAACACCGGUGGCGAAAGCGGCUCUCUGGCUUGUAACUGACGCUGAGGCUCGAAAGCGUGGGGAGCAAACAGGAUUAGAUACCCUGGUAGUCCACGCAGUAAACGAUGAUAACUGGGCGUAUGCGAUAUACAGUAUGCUCCUAAGCGAAAGCGUUAAGUUAUCCACCUGGGGAGUACGCCGGCAACGGUGAAACUCAAAGGAAUUGACGGGGGCCCGCACAAGCGGAGGAACAUGUGGUUUAAUUCGAUGAUACGCGAGGAACCUUACCCGGGAU
rnacentral:rRNA from 1 species